UCUCUUCCGCGUAACAGUGGGGACAAAGAAAAAAACAACACAACUACCAAGUUGACUCCUUUUAAUUAUACUACUACUAUAACCAAUCAUGCUCUCAACCCCAACAAUGCCUUUUCAUCUUCCUCUCUUUCUCUUUCUCUCUCUUUCUUUCUCUUUUUCCAAUACAAUCUGUCACCUUUUUUCGACAUUUUUAGCAAUUUUCCCUUUUUAGCUAUACUUCAUUCCCGUCAUCCUCGUUGUAAUUCAAUUUUUUUCAUUCCUUUUUGUCAAUGGAGGAGGUUGUUUGAAUUUCAACAAUCUUCUCCUACAAACCACAAUAAUCAUUAA